rnacentral:rRNA from 1 species
UACAGAGGUCCCAAGCGUUGUUCGGAUUCACUGGGCGUAAAGGGUGCGCAGGUGGGUUUGCAAGUUUGAUGUGAAAGCCCCGGGCUUAACCCGGGAACUGCAUUUGUGACUGCAUGGCUGGAGUGCGGCAGAGGGGGAUGGAAUUCCGCGUGUAGCAGUGAAAUGCGUAGAUAUGCGGAGGAACACCGAUGGCGAAGGCAGCCUUCUGGGCCAACACUGACGCUCAUGCACGAAAGCGUGGGGAGCAAACAGG